AGAAGUAGUAUCCCGCAGCGUAUCCAUCACGGGCUUUGCUGCGGCUAAUUCUUUUAUAGAAACACUUAGGAGUGAAUAAUGGCCCGUAUAGCAGGCAUUAACAUUCCUGAU
rfam:Vibrio nereis strain DSM 19584 contig0026, whole genome shotgun sequence.